ensembl:ncRNA asRNA:CR42742 antisense RNA:CR42742
AUAGCAAAUUAAUUUGUUUUACUUUACGGUGUGUUAAAAUUUUUCUCACUUUAAGCCAUUGUGCAAUGUUCUUUAUUCUGUGCUUUACAAAUUCAAAUAUAGAUCUACAGAAGGCAAGCCAGUUCGUGUGCCCCAGGAUAUUUGCAUAGACAUCGGGCUUAAUGGAGCAGCCCGCUCUGGAGAGGAUGCCCACGAGCUUGUUGUCGAUGACCAGAGGCGAACCCCUGUCUGUGGAGCAGGCUCCCUUGCCCGGCGACUUGGUGCAGAUGGUCAGGUCUGAGAUUCCCUUGAGUAAGUAAAAUGGUAUGACUUUCCAGUCGGCGGCGCACUGUUUUUGGCUAAGGAUCCGCACUUGAGUGCCGUGCAAUUGGACAGGCAGCUGGAAGCACUUCUCUUCUAUUCCGCUGCUAAUCCUCUAAGUCUAAGAUAAGGUCAAGGAAAUUGCCUGAUCUGCCACCACAGCCAGUCACAUUGGCUCGAGAAUUAUCAUCCGGCACUUUGUCGGCCCUCUCAAUUGGCUUUAUUUCAUCGGUGGUGUUGAGUAGCUCGCAGGUUUUCAAGAGAGCCAAGUUAUUGUCAAAGCGCCAGCUGGAGUACUGGCUAUGAACUUUGACCUUACAGAUUCCAGCAAUUGAUCCACUAGUGCCGCAGCUGCUGGUUCCCAACCUGACUUGUAUGCUCCUGGCGCUGUAGCCAUCCACACACUUGGCGGCAGUCAGGAUGUAGUUCUUCGAGAUAAUGGCACCACCGCACUUGAGCUUCGAAUUGACUAUGAUGGAGGCAUACCACGGUGCAUCCUUAAUGUUGACAGUGUUUCCGUUUAUGAUCCGCUGAUCUCCGAGAGCCAACCAAGGCAGAGCCACAAUCUGCAGGAGGAUUAGUGGGGCUAACAUUCUCUUUAACUGACUUUCGUGAAGGGCGUGCUCCUCUUUUUAUGGGAUUCUUUGUUAAUUAAACGGAAUAGCUUUGGAAUACUCUUCUUAUCUACCUUUCGAAGAAUCUAUUUUGUAAUGUAAGAAGAAUAUGUAUUACAAUGUAUUACAAUCCAUAUUGGCAUUUGAAACAUUUUGAAUGAUAAAUACGCCCUGUGCGCAAUCGAUUGAAUAUAAAACCG